AGCAGUAGCCACGGUAAUACGUAGGGUGCAAGCGUUAAUCGGAAUUACUGGGCGUAAAGCGUGCGCAGGCGGUUAUAUAAGACAGAUGUGAAAUCCCCGGGCUCAACCUGGGAACUGCAUUUGUGACUGUAUAGCUAGAGUACGGCAGAGGGGGAUGGAAUUCCGCGUGUAGCAGUGAAAUGCGUAGAUAUGCGGAGGAACACCGAUGGCGAAGGCAAUCCCCUGGGCCUGUACUGACGCUCAUGCACGAAAGCGUGGGGAGCAAACAGGAUUAGAUACCCCUGUAGUCCCUGUCUCUUAUAU
rnacentral:rRNA from 1 species